CUUAAUUUGCUGAGAAUUUUUAUCAAAAAUGGAUAAUGGAUUUUAUCUAAUAUAUUUUCUACAUCUGAUGGCAUUAUCACAGUUUUUGUGAAUUACAUUGAUUUUCAAAUGCUAAACCAACCUGACACUCCUGGAAUAAACACAAUUUAAUCAUGUUCUAUUAUCUUUUUUCUUGAUAGACUCCUGCUAAUUGUUUUUUUUUACAAUUUUUCUUAUACAUUUCUAAGGAAAAUUUAGCCAUAAUUCUCUUUUAUAAUAAGUAAUAUCAGGUGUUGGUACCAAAGUUUUGCUGACCUUACAAAAUGAACUUUAAAUUGUUCUCAUUUCUUUCUAUUCUCUGAGUUUAAAAUAAGUAUUAUUUCCUUUCCAGGGAUGUCUGCUAAGCCAUCUGAUCUUUAAGCUUUCUUUGUGAGAGUUUUAAAAUAUAGACUCAAUUUCAUUAAGAGUUACAAGGUAGGUCAAGUUUCCUAUUUCUUCUUGUAGCAAUUCUGGGAAGUUUUAUUUUUCUAGACAUUUAUCCAUAUCAAUUCAAUUUUAACUAUAUUGUUAUAAAUUGAUCAUAAUAUCCUUUCAUUACUUCUAAUGUCUAUAGGGUCUAUAGUGAUGUCGUCUUUCCCAUUCCUUGAUACUAGUUAGUUGUACCUUCUCUCUCCUUUUUUUUCAUCAGUGAUAUCAGGUGUUUACCACUUUUUAUUAUUAAUCAUUUUCAUUGUUAAUCUUAUGUUUGUUUUUCUUUUCAUUGAUUUCUCUCUUGCCUUUAUUAUUUACUUCCUUCUUUCUCUGGGCUUAAGUUGCUGAGGGUUUGAUUUUACUUUCUUGAGAUAAAUGCAUUAGAUCAUUUUCACCCAUCUUCUUUUAUGACAUAUGGCCAGCAAGCCAUCAAGUACCUCCAAAGGAACUUAGCUGCAUUAUACAAAUUCUGACAAGUUGUACUUUCAUUAUUACUCAGGUAAAACUAUUUUUAAAGUUUCUUUGUAACUUCUUUGUUAAUCCUGGGGUUAUUUGGAGGUAGAUUUCUUGUUUCUAAAUAUAUGGGAAUUUUCUAAUUAUACUUAUGUUACCAAUUUCCUGUAAUGUUCAGAGAACAUACUCUGUACAUUUUUAUUAUCUGAUUUUUGUUGAGAAUUGCUUUAUGAUCCUGGAUAUGGUCAAUUUUGGUGUUCCAUGUGCACUUAAAAAGAACUUAUGUUCUGCAGGUACUGAGUACAGUGCUCUAUAUAUGUCAUAAGGUAGAGCAUAUUAAUCAUUUGUUCACAUAUUCUAUAUUAUUACUAAUUUUUUGUCUACUUGAUCUAUUGAGUGUCUGAAAAAUCCAUUAUUUGGCUCUCUUUUCAGUCUUCUGCUAUGGUCUUUGUUUUGCUUAGUUUCAGUCAUAUGAGCUUGUCUCCAGAGUGCCUGGCUAUUUUUGUGUGCAUGUAAGACAUUUUAUGAAAAAACUAUAAAAAUUAUUUGGGCCUAGAAGAGCAUUAUCUUCCUCCAAAAGGAAUUGAUUUCUGUUUAAAUAGAUGGCUAGAGUCGCUAACAAUCCUGGCUAUCCUUAAUCCCAUCAAUGAUUCUAGAUUAGGUUUUAUUUAUAAGUAGACCUUCCUAUUUUUGAUUUACCCUAACUCCUAAGGCAUAGCCCUUCAGGGCCCCAACCCCAAGCCUGGGGGAUUUGGCAGGAAAUCUCCCUUCUUGGUGGACCCUAACCUCAAACUGCUGCUCCUUUAGCCCCAAUCUACAAGUGUGUCAAAAGCUCUACUCAGCUUCUUAGCCUCUCAGACACCUCUACUGGUAACAGAAGUUUCUCCUAAGGGAAAAAAGCCUCACAUGCCCAGCUCACCUCUUUGAGUUUCUUUCUUCUCCAGGAUCUUGUCCCCACAGUCUUCACUGAUGUGUUAGCUCUCUGAUACCUUCAAACAGAUGAUUUUUAUACAUGAUCCAUCUUUUCUAGUUGUUCUCAGUGGGAGAGUUAGUCCAAAUUGCCUAAUCCACCAUCACCAGAAGUGCACCUCUCAAUUCCUCUUAUCUGUAAAAUGAGGAUAAUAAUGACAACUUCCUCAAACAUAUUAUUAAAAGAGAUUAGGGUGCCUAUUACAUACUAAGUGCUCAAGAACUUUUGGCUAUGGUUUUGAGCUACCUUUCACUAAUCCAAAACAAGGCACAGUUAAUACGUAUGUUGUGGUUUUGCCUGCCUACAAUCCAUUCUCCUCUAAUACCUGAAAAUUCCUUUGACAAACUAGUCCUGAACUAUUGAGUGAUCUCUAUGUAGCUGUCAAUCAAGGUGCCAUGUCCUCCUCUGAUGAAAGGUGGGCAACUAAUCAAAGCUAGUGCAGAUCUGUGUCUCUACUGGUAAUGUGACCUUUAAGAAGGAAGUGGUAACGCUGAUCCACACAAACAGCAAGUGGCACCAUGAACAGGCCAUCCAUUAAUUUUGACAAACUAGCUAUCAAGAGCUAUCCAAAUUUCUGUCUUUUCCAGGGACUAGUAUUCUACUUUUCUGAGAGCUACCAUACUCUUAUCAUAAAUACAUUUUCUUCUUAAGUUAACCAGGGUCCAUGUUUUGUUGCUUGACACCAAAAUAUUUAAUUGAUACCCAAAUGGAGAUCUCACUUUCAACAGUUUUCUACAGGUCCCUAUACUUAAUCUUUCUGUCAACCAG